UCGAAUAUCGAAUAGGCGCUUGGCCAUGGAUCGUUGCAUUAGGUUUUCGUAAUCCCCGAAACCCAGACAAACCACUAUGGAAGUGCGGAGGUUCCCUGAUAUCGGCUAGGCAUGUUUUGACCGCAGCACAUUGUGCACAUAUGGAUGGAAUAGAAAACAUACACAAUCAUAAUAUUGCCAUUCUUAGAUUGGUGGAGGAGGUGCCAUUUUCGAGUAAGUCCUCAAAUAUAUAUAUAUAUAUAUAUAUGCUAUUGAGUAUUACUGAAGUAUCAUAUCCUGAAAUUUCUUACUGUACACAUAUAUUGUGUCAUAAAGCGUGUACAAUUCUUUCUCAUACUUUUGGUCAUUCGUUUCCUGCAUUUUCAUUUAUUUUUUUAUUUUUCAGGGUACGUAUAUCCCAUUUGUACGAAAGAGCUCCUGCGAAAGAGCAACUUCGUCGGCUAUAACCCCCUUGUUGCUGGAUGGGGAGCAUUAAGAUAUAGUAAGUGAUAUCAAUUUUAUAAUAAAAUUAAACAGUUCCAGUCUUAAAUAUCUUUCUUAUUUUCUUCGUAGGACGACCACGACGUAAUGCAUUAAUGGAAGUACAAAUGCCAGUGAUUAAGAACGCCGAAUGCAAAAUAGCUUAUUCCAAAUUUCCUAAUGCACCUGAUGUCACUGAUGGUAUAAUAUGCGCCGAACGUGCUCAGGGUGGAAAGGAUUCUUAUACGGUAAUUAAGUUACAGAGUUACUACAAACUAUACGGUAUCUGAAGACACGUCAAUUCGAAUUAACAUCAAAUCGACGUCUUAAACAUUAAAAAUAAUAGAUAAACACAAUUUAAUAGUUUUGCCCACUUCUCACACCUCGUUAUGGUAUUUAAUCUAAUUUCCUCCUAAUCUUAGUUUUGCUCAAAAUACAUAUAACAUGUACGUUAUAAAUUGGAGUAUUUCAAUACACAAAUCAAUAGAAGAUUAUUACUGUAUAUAAGUAUAAUUUCAAUACAAUUCGAUCGAUAUAUUUCAGUAUCUUUGAUUAAAAAUUUAACGAUCCUUUCAGGCUGACCGCGGCGGACCACUGCUGAUACAACAUGAAUUAACCUCGUAUUUAAUAGAUUAUAGAUUCCUAUACGACUCUCAGUAAAAAUUUAUCCGCACUCCAGAUAGUUAAAACUUCUGUCGACCGUAUUGAUCCAUCUGCACUCUUCGUAUGACGUCAAUAUCUGUUCAGUGCUGCUGCGCAGGUUUCUUUGUGUUACGUCAAUUCGUUUGUGACCGUUGCGCGAGUAAUGGCGCUUUGCAAUGGUGAUUUGCAGGAAAACAGUGCAGAAUGCUGUGAUUCGUUUCUUGUGGUCGGAGGUUAUGUUUGAUGCCUAUAUUUAUCAAAGAUUUAAUGCACAUUAUGGAGAAAGUGUUUUGUCACGAAGUGUGUUUGAAUGGGCACAAAGGUUCAAAGAAGAUCGCACAAGUGUUAUGAAAAAACAGGUGGACGCCCGUCCACAUCCACGUUGACAACAUUGAACGUGUUCAUGAACUUAUGCUCUAUGGAAUAGACGAGUGACACUGGAUAAUGUGGCAAAUCAUUUGCAAAUCAGCCACGGCUCUGCUUAUGCAAUAGUGCACGACAGAUUUGGGUUUUAAAAAGUUUGUGCGAGAUGGAUGCCGAAAAAGCUGAUGAAAAGGUGAAGACGACGAUGCAUUCGUGGUUCGCAGCUCAGCCCAAAACAUUUUUUAAUGAGAAAAUACGAAGGUCCUUCGGCAAAUGGACAAAGUGUAUACAGAAAUCGAGUGAUUAUGUCAAAAAAUGAUGUAUGUCUUUUUUGACAAUUGCUUAAAACAAAUUCUACACCGACAGAGCGGGCUGUUAAUCUAGAGGCUGGAGUACAAAGAAGUGGCACAAUGAUGUGGGCUGAUGACAUUUAUAAUUAUCAAGGAAUCACCCCUACAUUCGCUCAGAAUUUUAAUGAAACUGUCCCUUGGGAAGGAAGAACUGAUACCUUGAUAUCACGGUUUGUACAUCCUAUAUAUACGACAAAUUUUAGAACAUUAUAUAACGAAGAACCAGAUCGUCGUGGCCAUGUGAUGUGAAUAAAAGGACUUGAAUUUGAUGAUAUUUUUAUAAUGUUAGAUAACAUAACUAAGUAUCUUCACAGUAAGAUAGGAUGACAUGGUUUACAUGAUCUUAAUGUUGUUCACUUGAGUGAUGAUAUUAUAAGGAAAAGUGUAAUAUCACAGGAUAUUUAUGUUUAGUAACCAGUAAUUCAGAGAUUGGUAUUCAUGGUUACUAUAACGAGGCUGUAGAAACGCACCCUUUCUUCUUUGCAAAUGGUCCUGUAUUUAUGUCUAAGCCGAAACUGGAACCUCUGAAUAAUUUAGAUUUAUUCUUGUUAUUUUCUAAAAUACUUAUCUACAGUAUACCAUAAGGAAUGAUACCGUAUCGCACCUAAUCAAGUGCCUUAAGAAACAUCAACAGGAUAUCACAGUAAUCCCGUAUCGACUGAUAUUUGUAGCCACUACAAUAUCUAUGACACUGGUAGUAAUUAUGAGAACAAUAAUGAUGUGUUCUAUAAGAGGAAAUGAUGAUUAGGAACAAAAACUUACAGGUAAGUCAAAGUAUAUGUUAUUUGCCAUUUGAAAAGAAAGUUACUAACUUGGAAUUUUUUGAUAAAUAAUAAUUGUAUCAUACGUACUUUUGAAUUCGUGCAAGAACAUAUGUAAUUUUGAAGUAGUUAUUAUUAGGAAAUUGUUAGACGCGAACAGUAUGCGAAAAGUUAGUAUGCAGUGUAAUAAUUAUCAAUCAAAACACAAGAAUUAAAUUCUUGAGGAAAAAAUUUCCGGAAUUUCUUAUUUACAUGAUUAUAAAGAAAUCCAUAAUAAAAAGGAGCUGCUUUCUAA